CAGGCCCCGGAAGCCAUAUCCUCAGGUGUGGGUCAGAGGAAGAUCCUGGGGCGUCUCCACCAUGGCCUGGACCCCUCUCCUGCUCCCCCUGCUCACUCUCUGCACAGGUUUGGUGGCCUCUUCUGAAGUGACUCAGCCCUCAGCAGUGUCUGUGAACCCGGGACAGACAGUCAGGAUCACCUGCCAGGGAGAGCUCAUAAGAAAAUAUUAUCCUUCCUGGCACCAGCAGAAGGCAGGCCAGGCCCCCAUGCUGCUCAUAUAUGCUGACAAGAACCGGACUUCAGUGAUCCCUGACCGAUUCUCUAGUUCUGACUCAGGGGACACCAGCACCCUGACCAUCAGUGGGGCACGGGCUGAGGACGAGGCUGACUAUUACUGUGCAAUGUGGGACAGCAGUAGUAAAACUCACGGUGACACAGGCAGGUGGGGAAGUGAGACAAAAACCUCAGUCUGUGUCACACUCCCCUCAGGCCCCACAUGGACUGCAGGCAAAGCCAUGAGCAGCUUUGGAACAGAUCUCAUUUCUCAGGUCUCUAAGUGGCCUUACCUCCCAGCCUCAGGCAACUGUGCAGAGGGUGGGUCAGGAGUGGCUUCAGGGCAGCAGGACCAGGCUGCCUGCUGUGUCUGGGCCACUGACUCAAUUCUGAAAAGAGGGCAGGAGAAAUGACAGACUGCCAGAACC